CCACUUCGUGAAGACAAAGUGAUUUCCUAUAUACUCUCUGGAUUAGAUGCAAAUUAUAAUCCUGUCAUCACUUCGAUGACAACAAGGCUCGAUGGAGUCAGUCUCAAUGUGUUGUAUGCGCAUCUUUUGUCGUUGAGA